rnacentral:lncRNA from 1 species
AUUAUUUAUCUUAUGAACAAUGUUACUUUUAGUGUUAUGGGCUUUUACUUAGUUGGGCUCUGGCUAGCUUGGUUAUUACCUUUGUUAAUUUGUUUAGGGUUAUGUUAAUAUGUAUUAUGCCUUAACCUGUACUAGUUAUGCUUGAUCCUUAUUAGCUUUAGCAGAGAUUUUCUCGUCAACAUGAUGUCGCUUUAUCUAGUCCGAGAUUAUCUCAAUCAUAUAUAACACACUAGCCCAUAAAUUCAAUAUAUGAUCUAGGUGAGAGUCUCGAUACACAAUGAAAAUUUAUGCCACUUUGUCAUCCUUCCAUAGUUAUAUAAUAGUCUCAUAGUCUUGAGAAGCAUAACGACGAGGAGACUUGAUGGAGAUGUAUACAUGAUGUCAGAGGGAAUGUUACUUGAAAAGGACAAUGGCCAAGAGCUAGGAUCAUAGGAUCUGAGAAGAUCCAACACUUGAAGAUGAAAUGCCAGAUGAAGAGGCACCACCCACGGGGCCUGCCGUUCAACACAGGUCUUCAUAAACACCAAUGUUACUCUCUGCUUGCUUAGUGAUGGGGUUUGAGUGCCUAACGUUGGACCUUCUAGAAUAAGCUCACCCAAUGGUAAGGAGGUGGUACCCAACACCACUUAACGAGCAACUAGUUAUUUAAGACAUUAAUAUCUCAUUUCAAUAUACACUUCAACAAAUGAGACCCUCAUUGUUAAAGGACUAGGCUUUGCCAUCAAAUUUAUGAUCAAUUGCUCUUAAUUUGACACUUUUUUUGCCAUUACUAAAAUCCAUCGGUAUAUAUCUUUAUUAUGUUUUUUUCUUCCUCCUCAUAUUUAUCUUUUUCCAUUUUUUCUUUUGUAUCUCAUCCUUCUCCUCUCCUCGUCGUGCCUCUACCACUACCAUUGUUGUUGCUGCCAUUAUGUCUUUUUCCACCACCUUGGAGCCCUCCCUCUCAUUUUUUUCUCCUAUUCUUCCUCUUCCUUCUAUUUUUCCUUUUUCUCUUUCUUCUCCUCUUACUCCUCCUCCAACCCCGGCCACCAUCAUCAUUACACCACUAUCACUAAUGCCUUUCUUCCUUCACCUUUUCUCCUUCUUCUUUCUCCUUUUCUUCUUUUCACACAUCUCUCUUUAAUAUAUAAAAAAAAUCUCAUCAAACUUAAUAGAGAAUUAACUGCUCAUUUUAUUGGUGAAAAAGUCUGACAAUAAUAGAAAUUACAAAUUAGUGUUAAAAUUUAUUGACAAAAUAAAGCAUCAAACAUUAUCAACAAAAAUAUUCAUCGAUAAUCAAAGUAUAAUUUAUUGAUGAAUCUUAUGGACUAAUUUUACUG